AACAUCUGUGGCAUCUAUUAAUGUCAAAUCUAGCCUUUAUUUAACAACAUAAGCAAACUCUAUGUUACAAUGAUUGCACAGCCAUUAAGGAUCAAAUCAGUUUCUGAAAAAUGUUCUGUUUUUUCUCCCUCUGCUUGCUUCUUACUGUCUUUGAGGCUCGGGACCAGCACUCCUGUUGUUGGACAGAAAGACAUCAACUCAGUGACUUGAGAUAUGACUGCACUGUGCUGUUGCUGGUGACUCCAGUUAAUUCUACAAGACAUGCUGUGACAACAGGAGAGAUGAGUCCGCCGUCACACAUGGUGUGGUCAGUGAAGAUGGUCGCCUGCAGGUUCAAGCUCAUUGCAUCUCCAACCCACAUCCACUGCCACUGUACUUAAGGGAAGUUAA